AAGCCAUGAUGAGGACAAGCAUUGAUGGCCUCCAUAUACCUUUCCCAACAUUCAUAGAACUUCUCAUUUUCUUUUGCAAAAAAGUUUGAAAUUUGCCUUUUUAAGCUA